ACCACUACAAGUCACCACCACCUCCACACUAUCACCAUAAGUCUCCACCUCCAUACCACUACAAGUCACCACCUCCACCAUCCCCUUCACCUCCUCCUCCUUAUGUCUACAAGUCUCCACACCUCCGUCACGUCACCUCUCUCAUACGUCUAUAAUCUCAACACACAUCUCAUCCCACUCUCCUUAUGUGUACAAUCUCACCACACAUCUCAUNNNNNNNNNNNNNNNNNNNNNNNNNNNNNNNNNNNNNNNNNNNNNNNNNNNNNNNNNNNNNNNNNNNNNNNNNNNNNNNNNNNNNNNNNNNNNNNNNNNNGUUGACAACAAGUGUGCUGGUGAAUAAUAAGGGUCUAGCAGAACCCUUCUUGUAAUCUGUUGUAAGCACUUAUUGUAUUACUUCUUUAAAGAGAUUAAUUGAAUCAAAUGAAAGUGAAGAACAUUAAUUUCAUGUACUUGUUAAUCUAGUAUAUGCCCCUAUGACUUUUGGGUUAAUUAGUUCUGUGCUUCUUUGUUGAAAAGUUAAUGCAUGAUAAUGCAUAUCACUUUAUCAUCGUUAUUAAAUAGUAAACAUGCAUGCAUUUUAUAAUAAAUUUGGUACCUGGAUGUUUCAAGUUGUAACCAAAGCUCAAUUGGCCAGAUACGAAAUCAAAUUUAAGAAUUGUUUAAUCUGAUAGUUGACGUGACUUACUGUUUAUGUUCAUAUGUUUGGGAAACAUUACUGCAAUUGAGUGGACAGAGAUAUGUUUAUGUCCAUUGGGCCUACUCUCGGAACUUAGCUGGCAUGAACAAAUUAAUAGUUGACUACUGGGCACUUAAACAUACCCAAAUUUUUUUAGAGGCUAUUGAUUUUGAGUAGGAAUCCCCGUUGGGUCCGGUCCCAGGCUUAAUCGGGAAGAUUUCGGGGUAAAAUUAGAGGCUGGUAUGUGAAUCUCUAAAUUUUUAAAAUUCCCUGUCAAGGAUGGUAUUGUCACUACAAAAAAAAAGUGGUAACAGUCACCAUUAUUUAGUGACAUUUGCUGGGGCGAUUAAAGGUUUUAGUCACUAAAAAAGUCUUUUUUGGUGACUUCAAAAAUGCCUUUUGUGACUAAAGCCUUUAGUCACCCCAACAAAUAUCACCAAAUAAUGGUCACUAUUGCCACUUUUGUUUUUUUGAGGUGUUAUCCCCUUCUCCAAACCCGGUCUAAUAAGGGAAAUAUUUAUUUGGGUAAAAAAACACUUUUGGCCACUAGGGUUAGAGUUGAAAACGAUUUUGGACAUGGAUCCGUUGUCCCUAUUUUUCAUGUCCCUCCAUGUCCCUUUUCUAAUUUCUUGACAAGUGUCCACCUACUUAACCCCAAACUAAUACUGUUAAUUUGUAAUAAAAUAUUUAAAAAACAUAAAAACUAAAAUCGAAAAACAAAAACCAAGCAGACACCACAACCCCGCCCCACCUCAGCAGCCCCCUGAGCCUCUCCCAUCUUCACCAUCGGCGAAGCAUCCCCUCUUAUUUGUCUCUCUUUCCUUCUUCUAUCUCACUGCCUCUCCUGAAUUUGUUCCUCUUUCCCUCCUCUUUCGUGGUGUGGGUGUGACGAGGAAUAGUGUUUCUAAGCAAUAAUAGUCAUAAUCUCAAAGUUUAAGUCAUAGUGUUUCUAAGCAAUAAUAGUCUUCAGUCACCAUUGAAUUCUACGAGGGUUUAGAUCAAAUCGGCAUCAACAAAAAUUAACAAAUAAUAUUUCAAGGGUUGUGUGACUUGCAACACUUCGUAGAAAAGAUUGGGACAAAAUUCAAAGGAGAGAUAUAUAUAUAUAUAUAUAUAGAGAGAGAGAGCUUCCAUUGAGGGAUCCCUCAAAUAACUUAUUUGAGGAAUACCCCUUGUAGGCCCCACUUCGAAUUGUAUCUCAUUCAUCCAAACAGUCUAUUUUGUAGAUACUCAUUCAAAGAUCAUCUCUACAAAAAAUCACUUGAAUCCGAUAUCAGUUGACCACUCAAUUGAGUUAUUGAAAUUUUAGUACUUUUUUGAAGCACCGUGUUCAUUGAUUUUGUAAGACACAAUUGGAUGUCGAAACGGUUUCCGAUUUGUCUAAUUUUUUGUAAGGAUAAUCUAUGAAUGAAGACCUAAAAAAUAGAUGAUUUGGAUCAUUGGAAAAAAAAAUUGUAAGGUACCCUAAAGGGCGUUCCUCAAAUAAUUUGAGGGAUCCCUCAAUAGAAGGGGAUAUAUAUAUAUUUAUAUAUUAGGAGUCUAAACCAGCGGUUUUAGUAUUUCCUCUUCAGCAAUUGGUGGGCUAUGCUUGUGUACUAGUUCUCCAAUAUCGAAUGUGUGAGGUUGAUUAUGGUAUAGGGCAGAAACAAACAUACCUUACAAGUGAAAUCACAUAGUACUAAACUGGAAUUGAAGUUCUUUUCUCUUUUUCCCCCCCUUUGGGAAGGAUAAUCUCUUUAAAUUGUACGCAGAUGUGUACAAAAUGAGUGGUUUUUGUAUUGUCUAAAACUGAGAAGGGAAAUAUUUUUGCCUAUCUUUUUGGCUCCUUUUUGUGUUUUCUUAUUUGUCGAGGAUAAUAGAAGGGUUGGUUAGAUGAGCAUCGAUCCACGACAAUGUCAACUUAGGCGGUGACCUCUUAGUUGGAAUCGAGAGUCCCUUUUUUGUUUUGGUUAGAAUGAAAACAAAGUCUGCAGUCGAUAUAUACCUUUAACUAAGUUUCCCUUGUUUUUCUUUCUUUGCAUUUGUUUUUCUUCCUUACCGACUAAUACGUACAAACAUGCAUAAGACUUUCAAUCUAAAUUUCAAACUUUUCUAGAAGUAGAGAGAGAGAGAUAGUAUAUAUAUAUAUAUUGAGCCAUCACUUGCCAAGUCUAAUGACACACAAGUAGGACACACACAUUAAAUGCAAGCUUGACCUUAAAUUUUUCUUCCCUCUUACACACAAGGGCCGAUUGAGUGAAAAUAAAAAUAAAAAAUUGAUUUAGAGAGACCAAAAUAUUAAAGAAAAUUUGAUAUUUCUCAAAAUUUUCAAUGUCUAAUAUAUUUUUUUAUUAAAUAUAUGUAAUAUAGUUUAUGUAAUUAACUUACUAUAAAUUUAUAUAAACAAAAACCAUAAUUUGCAGGGUAGUACAAAUAUCCACAAAUAAUUAAUACAAAGAUAGAAGCAUAGUAAGCACGUAAGGUUAAUCCAGAUACAUAGAAAGACACAGUACCGAGAACAUCAAGCGCACAAGGUGUAUCUCCACUAAUUAAUAGCCACAUAAUGCCAAAGAAAUUUUUGCAUAAAAGCUACAAGACUGCAUAAGACAGACAUGAACCGCAGUGCGUAAAACUACCAACACAACUGCAACUUUUAAACUCUCGCAAGUAGAACUUAUAAGUAAGUACCUAGACUACAAACAAACACCCAACUUACAAGAAUUGAUGAAAUUAUUACAACUCAAGAAUAUAUAAACACACAACAAGUGAGUAAAAGUUGCUAAGCCACUAAGCCACCUUGUAUGUCUCUAAAUUUGGCAACGAAACCACCAGUGCAUUGCUACUUCAUCGUCACCAAAGAUUCCAAUGAAAGCCAAAUCACAAGGCUGGGUUUUUUUUUUUUUUUGGAGAAAAACUUAGGUUGGUUUUAUUACUAGAGAAUUCGAAUGGCACAAUUGCUUUUCAGGUUCUCCAUCUUAAUUUGUAAUAGAAGUAACACAUUUAAAAGAUUUAUUUUUCUAGCUCUCAUAAAUAUGGAUGAGGUGAAACCAGCCAAAAGUUCCUCAGUCACACGCUAAACUGAAUAUCUUUAAACCUUAUUACUCUAGGUUGGUAAAAGAAUUUUCUCUUUUUAAUUCUUUGGUGCAACUCGAUCUCUUCUUUAUAGUUUUUUGAGAGUCGAUCACUUUUGACAAAGUGCCAAGUUGCCAACUAUGCUCCUAUUUACAUUACAUUGAAUAAAGAAAAAGAUAAUAUAGUGAGGAUAGAAUAGUUAUUAUCAGUUAUUCUAAAAUAAAAUAAAAUAAAACAAACUAAAAUUAUCCAUAUGUUUCUCCCACAAUUUUUUGUCACUAUUUCUUAUUAUCUACUUCUCGAGCAAUAAUUGUCUCACAUACAAAGCAUUCUAGUAAUAGUAAUAUAAGGACUAAUGAACUAAUGCAAAAACAUUAAGGGCCCUUAAUUGAGUUCGGCAAUUCAAAUCCAAAAAUUCAAUUGGCAAAGUACAAUGUGUGUUUAUUUAUUUGGGUUAAAUAUUUUUUUGGUCACUAGAAAAAAAUUCAGCCAAAUUGGUCACUGUGUUUUCCGAAGUAUACAAUUUAUUGACAUUCUGUUAUCUUUCAUUAAUUGCAGUUUUUUUUAAAAAAAAAAAAAUAGGAAUCACCUUCUGUCUUCUUCCUUUAACUCAACAAGUUAUGGUAUAUUGUGCUAUUAGAGUUCAGCAAAUUGGGGGAAAUCUUGGGUUGAAAUCGAAAUCGUGAGGCAUGAGGAAAAUCAAAAGGCCAAACCAAAUUAAAAUGAAAUCAACAACUUACUAAUAUAUUUUGGUGCUCUAUCACAUUGAUUGUGUCUCCUUGUCAUCCGAAGUCACAAUACAAUUCUCACUCAAUCGAUUCAGGCUUCAAUAUAAUACCCAAUUAUUCGUGACCUUAUACCUCAUCAUUUCGAUUUCAACCCAAAAUUUCCCCCCAUCUUUAAAACUCUUAUAGCACAAUAACCUAACUUGUUGAGUUAGCGAGUUAGAGGAAGAAGACUUGAACGUGCUUCUUGGAAAUAUAAAAAUAAAAACUGCACUUAAUGGAAGUUAACGGUAGAUAACAAAAUGUCUAAAUUGUAAACUUAUGGAAAUAUUGUGAUCAAUCUGACUAAAUUUUUUUCUGAAUGACUAAAUUGAAUUUCCGUGUAAUGACCAAAAAGAUAUUUAAUCCUAUUUAUUUUUAUGAAGCAAAACUCUAAUGUUAAUGGAUGAAAGCUUUACACCUUUUAAUUAGCUAAGCACUUUUGAUAAUCCAGUAAAGUAUUUUUCAUAAUGGGUCAAAGUGUUCAGUUAUAUGCAAGCUAGCGUUCGAACUUUACCUUUUUUUACCAUAUAUAUUUAUUAUUACUUCACUAGUUGCUGGAGAACAGACCAACCCUUUUCAUUUUCACUCUCCAGCCGUACAACACUUACCUACCACACGGUUUGACUUGUCCAUGGCCUUCAUGAAAGAUCAAAGUUGAAAAAUCUUUGUGGGAACCCAAAUUCACUGGUUGAAGCAUGCGAGUUCAACUGAUUGGCAUUUCAAAAUCUCAAAGUCACAUUUGGUAGAAAACUUAAAGCAUCAAUCCAGCCAAUUAUGCUGAAUAAGCAAACAUGUCUUAUUCAAAGAUGAUGUCAAAGAUUGCUAUAAAAGGGAUAGCUUUCUCACCAUUUCCAACCACCUCACUCACAAAACAAGUUCUAAGAACUACAAUUUGUGGCAGAAAUGAGAACCUCAGGACAGCUGAGGCAUUGCCCUACAAUGUUUUAUGCCUUGGCAUUGUGCCUCUUGGCCACAAGUGUGCUUGCCACUACGCCUUAUACUUAUUCUUCACCACCUCCACCAAAGCACUUGGAGACCCCUCCAACCCAUUACAAGUCCCCCCCACCACCGAAGUAUGUAAAACAUCCACCACCUCCAUCACCAUCACCCCCGCCACCCUAUUAUAAGUCUCCACCACCGCCUUCUCAUUCGCCGCCUCCUCCUUAUGUGCACAAAUCUCCUCCACCACCCACUCACUCACCACCUCCACCAUAUGCUUACAAGUCACCACCUCCCCCUUCUAAAUCACCACCUCCUCCUUAUGUCCACAAAUCUCCUCCUUAUGUCCACAAGUCACCACCUCCACCAUCAUAUUCUCCUCCACCUCCUUACCACUACAAGUCACCACCACCACCAUCUCCAUCACCUCCCCCUCCAUACCACUACAACUCUCCUCCUCCUCCAGUGAAGUCACCUCCACCUCCCCAAUAUCACUACAAAUCACCUCCACCUCCAAAACACUACUAAGCUUUAUGGGAUUUUAGCGACUUGAACCAGUCCAAAUAAGGUCUUCGUUUCGAUGUUCCAGCGGUAUCACUUCUUUUUCUAGCUUUGUUCUAUUCGCAGACAAGUGUGUUUGUGAAUAAUAAAGGUC
rnacentral:lncRNA from 1 species